rnacentral:misc_RNA from 1 species
AGCAGCCGCGGUAAUUCCAGCUCCAAUAGCGUAUAUUAAAGUUGUUGCAGUUAAAAAGCUCGUAGUUGAAUUUCGGGAUCAAUAUGUUGGUCGUGCCUCGGUACGUACUAGCUUAUUGGUUUCUCCUUUCUGAAGAACCAUGAUGUCAUUUAUUUGGUGUCGUGGGGAAUCAGGACUGUUACUUUGAAAAAAUUAGAGUGUUUAAAGCAGGCUCAUCGCUUGAAUACAUUAGCAUGGAAUAAUGAAAUAGGACGUUUGAUUCUAUUUUGUUGGUUUCUAGGAUCGACGUAAUGAUUAAUAGGGAUAGUUGGGGGCAUUAGUAUUCAAUUGUCAGAGGUGAAAUUCUUGGAUUUAUUGAAGACUAACUACUGCGAAAGCAUUUGCCAAGGAUGUUUUCAUUAAUCAAGAACGAAAGUUAGGGGAUCGAAGACGAUCAGAUACCGUCGUAGUCUUAACCAUAAACUAUGCCGACUAGGGAUCGGAUGAUGUUAAUUUUUUAA